rnacentral:tRNA from 1 species
UGCAUUAGUAGCUCAGCGCUAGAGCGCCG